rnacentral:rRNA from 1 species
CCUACGGGAGGCAGCAGUGAGGAAUAUUGGUCAAUGGACGAGAGUCUGAACCAGCCAAGUAGCGUGAAGGAUGACUGCCCUAUGGGUUGUAAACUUCUUUUAUAAAGGAAUAAAACGAGGCACGUGUGCCUUUUUGCAUGUACUUUAUGAAUAAGGAUCGGCUAACUCCGUGCCAGCAGCCGCGGUAAUACGGAGGAUCCGAGCGUUAUCCGGAUUUAUUGGGUUUAAAGGGAGCGUAGAUGGGUUGUUAAGUCAGUUGUGAAAGUUUGCGGCUCAACCGGAAAAUUGCAAUUGAUACUGGCAGUCGUGAGUACAGUUGAGGUAGGCGGAAUUCGUGGUGUAGCGGUGAAAUGCUUAGAUAUCACGAAGAACCCCGAGUGCGAAGGCAGCUUACUAAACUGUGACUGACAUUGAUGCUCGAAAGUGUGGGUAUCAAACAGGAUUAGAUACCCCGGUAGUC